rnacentral:lncRNA from 1 species
CAGGGUUUCCGCUGGCGGUCGCCAUUUUCGCAAUUUGCGAAAAAAUAAUAAUUGUGGCGAUAAAAAUUCGUCAUUUGCGAAAGAAUUUGGCGAAAGAAAUAUAUAUAUAACGAUUUAUUUUCCUCCAUCUUGUUUAUUUACUUUUUUCGAGUUUCUCGGACUUUACCCGAUCAGACAAUACUCGGAAUUCACCUUGACCUCAUUAAGAUUUGGACAGAAAAUCAAUAAUCAGCUGAUUGCAUUUUUGGGCGAUAUCUUUUUGCGCCAAAAAGUAACUCAUUUGCGCCACAACUUAAUUGCGCCAAUACCUCUUUUGCGCCACCUAAUUUUCAAAACUAUAGGCAUCAUUUGCGCCAAUAAAAUAAUCAUCUAAUUGCGCCAAUUUUAUAUAUUUUUAUUUAUAUAUAACAACUAAAUGAUUGACUAGGUACCAACAGCAAAAAAUUCCUCUGACAUUGUACACUG